rnacentral:rRNA from 1 species
AAUCAACGCUGGCGGCGUGCCUAACACAUGCAAGUCGAACGCGAAAGUCCCGCAAGGGAUCAGUAGAGUGGCAAACGGGUGAGUAACACGUGGGUGACCUGCCCUCGAGCGGGGGAUAACGUCCCGAAAGGGACGCUAAUACCGCAUGACAUCCCGCCUUUGAACAGGUGGAGAUCAAAGCUGGGGAUCGCAAGACCUAGCACUCGAAGAGGGGCCCGCGCCUGAUAGCUAGUUGGUGAGGUAACGGCUCACCAAGGCGACGAUCAGUAUCCGGCCUGAGAGGGCGGACGGACACACUGGGACUGAGACACGGCCCAGACUCCUACGGGAGGCAGCAGUGGGGAAUUGUUCGCAAUGGGCGCAAGCCUGACGACGCAACGCCGCGUGGAGGAUGAAGACCUC